GACAGAGGUGCCGAGCGUUAGGCGGAAUCACUGGGCUUAAAGCGUGUGUAGGCGGACUUGUAAGUACCUUGUGAAAUCCCACAGCUCAACUGUGGAACUGCUUGGUAUACUGCUUGUCUUGAGCCACUUAGGGGCAGUCGGAACAGACGGUGGAGCGGUGAAAUGCGUAGAUAUCGUCUGGAACGCCAAUGGUGAAAACAGGUCGCUGGGGCUGUGCUGACGCUGAGACACGAAAGCCAGGGGAGCAAACGGG
rnacentral:rRNA from 1 species